GAUGAACGCUGGCGGCGUGCCUAAUACAUGCAAGUCGAACGGGGAGUAGCAAUACUCUUAGUGUCGAACGGGUGAGUAACGCGUUGGUACCUGCCCCUAAGCUGGGGAUAACGUACCGAAAGGUCCGCUAAUACCCCAUGUGCUCGGGAACGAGUAACGGGGAACACCACUUUGGGAGGGGCCUGCGUCCCAUCAGCUAGUUGGUAAGGUAACGGCUUACCAAGGCGAUGACGGUUAGGGGACCUGAGAGGGUGGCCCCCCACAAUGGAACUGAAGCACGGACCACACACCUAGGGGUGGGAGCAGUAGGGAAUAUUGGUAAUGGGAGCAAGACUGAGCCAGCAAGGCCGCGUGUGCGAUGACGGCGGUCGGGUUGUAAAGCACUUUUGACUGGGACGAGGAAGGACGGUACCGGUCGAAUCAGCCUCGGCUAACUACGUG
rnacentral:rRNA from 1 species